rnacentral:rRNA from 1 species
CCUACGGGAGGCAGCAGUGGGGAAUCUUGCGCAAUGGGCGAAAGCCUGACGCAGCCAUGCCGCGUGAAUGAUGAAGGUCUUAGGAUUGUAAAAUUCUUUCACCGGGGACGAUAAUGACGGUACCCGGAGAAGAAGCCCCGGCUAACUUCGUGCCAGCAGCCGCGGUAAUACGAAGGGGGCUAGCGUUGCUCGGAAUUACUGGGCGUAAAGGGAGCGUAGGCGGAUAGUUUAGUCAGAGGUGAAAGCCCAGGGCUCAACCUUGGAAUUGCCUUUGAUACUGGCUAUCUUGAGUACGGAAGAGGUAUGUGGAACUCCGAGUGUAGAGGUGAAAUUCGUAGAUAUUCGGAAGAACACCAGUGGCGAAGGCGACAUACUGGUCCGUUACUGACGCUGAGGCUCGAAAGCGUGGGGAGCAAACAGGAUUAGAUACCCUGGUAGUCCACGCUGUAAACGAUGAGUGCUAGUUGUCGGCAGGCAUGCCUGUCGGUGACGCAGCUACGACAUAGACACUCCGCCGUGGGAGGUACGGUCGCGAGAGUAAACGUAACUAAUAGUUAGUUAGUACGGCGUUGAGACGUUGCCGACGGACGACGACGAGGGAGGAGG